rnacentral:rRNA from 1 species
UGGGGAAUAUUGCGCAAUGGGGGGAACCUUGACGCAGCCAUGCGCGUGAAUGAAGAAGGCCUUAGGGUUGUAAAGUUCUUUCGGUAUUGAGGAAGGUUGAUGUGUUAAUAGCACAUCAAAUUGACGUUAAAUACAGAAGAAGCACCGGCUAACUCCGUGCCAGCAGCCGCGGUAAUACGGAGGGUGCGAGCGUUAAUCGGAAUAACUGGGCGUAAAGUGCANNCAGGCGGUUAUUUAAGUGAGGUGUGAAAGCCCCGGGCUUAACCUGGGAAUUGCAUUUCAGACUGGGUAACUAGAGUACUUUAGGGAGGGGUAGAAUUCCACGUGUAGCGGUGAAAUGCGUAGAGAUGUGGAGGAAUACCGAAGGCGAAGGNCAGCCCCUUGGGAAUGUACUGACGCUCAUGUGCGAAAGCNNGGGGGAGCAAACAGGAUUAGAUACCCUGGUAGUCCACGCUGUAAACGCUGUCGAUUUGGGGGUUGGGGUUUAACUCUGGCGCCCGUAGCUAACGUGAUAAAUCGACCGCCUGGGGAGUACGGCCGCAAGUUA